GGGGGCUAUAGCUCAGCUGGUAGAGCACCUGUUUUGCACGCAGGAUGUCAGCGGUUCGAUCCCGCUUGCCUCCACCA
rnacentral:tRNA from 1 species